GGGCCGUUAGCUCAUUUGGUAGAGCACCACAUUUGCAAUGUGGGGGUGACCGGUUCGAAUCCGGUACGGUCCACCA
rnacentral:tRNA from 1 species